UCUCCCAGCCGCUCAGCUUGUGCACGGGUGCUGCUCCUCACCAGGCCGCCACGCGGGGUCUCCCGCCACUCCCAGCUUCUUUGUUGCUACAGCCUAGGCCAGCAAGUGGUUCCCGGCCGUCACGCCAACAUAAAGGCCACCAGGGUGACUGAGGCGCUGGACCUGUGUUUCUGGUUACCAUGGUAAGUGCAGGCGUGGCCCCAAGCCUUGGUACUCACUGGCCUAUAGCGCAAUGUGCUUUUAACUUGGAGCCCAGGGGCAGCCACUGUGCAGCAAGGGAGCCCACAGCUCCUGCCAGGUCCCUGCCUUCCUCAGGGCUGGGCUGCCACACACACCCAGGCCGGGGUGCAAGCACUGGGUUCCAGCGCCUUCAUCCUGCCGCAGGGCUGUGCUCCACCCCUGCACAGCCCCGUAUCUCCCUGGGCAGAGAUGGCACCCAGCUCACACCCCCACUGCCUGAUGAUGACAGAUGAUGUCACACCACUUGUGAGAGAGGAACAGUGAGUGUCUGAAGCAAAGGGAAGAAGCCCUGACUUUGGAAUCUAGGAGGCCCCGACGGGAAAUGAAGCUGCUGGGCGCAGAGAGGCUGGACCGAGGCCGGAGGCCCCCAGAGCUGUGCAGAGCCUCUGAUCUGGUAUCGGGAGAGGAUGCUGCCUGCUGGCCCUCGGGAGGCCAGGACUCUGCAAGACUACAUAUAAAAGCCAGGGAGCUGUGCUCGGACGUGCUUGGCGUGGGGCAAUACACGCCAGAGUGCUUCGGUGCUCUUCAGGGUCUUUGCGAGUUCUGACAGUUCCCACCGUGGGAUGCAUCAGUGAGGGGCCAGACCCACAGCUCAGCUCACUCAGCACAGUGCACACCAUAAGGAGCCAGAGGAGAGGCUGAAGCUCCCCAAGAAAAGGCAGACCACUGACAAAUGGACAAGGAAGAGAUCACCAAAUUAUCACCCAGCUUCUAAUUCCUAACCCUAGGCUUUAGGAAGAGAUUGAAAAAUGCAUUUAAAAUUCUGAGGGAAGUUUAUUUUGCACUUGGAAUUUUACACCCAACCAAACUAUUACUCAAGUGUGAUAGCAAAAUACACUGUCAUAAAUGAAAGAAUUAAAAGUCUUCUGUCCAUCUUCUGAGGCCCAUUAGAUUAGCUCUCUGCAGGAGGCCCUGACUGUGGUUUCCAAUACACCAACCCUUCUCAGCUCCAAGCAGCUAGAUGCAAACUACCAGCCUUCUCCCCUAACUGCACUGAGGGAUACCUCUUCCGAGAAGGGAACGUUAUAGACAGCUACAUGGGGUAGAAAUACAGUAGGCAAUCAGACAGAGCUGGGCGCUUGUGGGAGUGCGCGCAGAUGAGAAAGUAUCAGGAAGAUGAAAGGCAUGGGGCGAGUUUCACAUACUUCCCUUACAGAUGAAUGGAGACCUGGGAUUAAUGGUCUCACCCUUUUGAGAUUUCCCAGUACUCAUUAGGGGUGGGCCAUCCUCACCCACCUACUACGACUAAGGCUAUAGAUUAUCAACCAAGGUUAACGAUGUCGCUCAUGUACUCUUGCUACCAUUAGAUCAGUGUUACCUAUGAUACUUGCAAUUAUACUUGCAAUCUUAUCGGGUGAUCAUAAUUUUGACCCGUGUUGUACUCACAUCAUGAUUUUGCUCUAUCAAGCUUCCUUUGAGAGGCAGGCUUGUUGGCAGCCCUUUGGGAACCCCUCCUGUUUCUCAGCAGCUAUUCCUAAUUCCCAUUUCCCCAUUCCUAUGUCUCAUUCCUUUUCUCCCA